rnacentral:sRNA from 1 species
AGCGGUUGCUGCAGAGGACCGCGAAGAACAGAGACUAACGACGAAGU